rnacentral:misc_RNA from 1 species
UUUCCGUAGGUGAACCUGCGGAAGGAUCAUUACAGAGUUCAUGCCCUCACGGGUAGAUCUCCCACCCUUGAAUAUUAUACCUUCGUUGCUUUGGCAGGCCGUGGAAACACCAGAGGCUCCGGCUGAUGCGUGCCUGCCAGGGGAAACAAACUCUGUUUUUAGUGAUGUCUGAGUACUAUAUAAUAGUUAAAACUUUCAACAACGGAUCUCUUGGUUCUG